UACAGAGGUCUCAAGCGUUGUUCGGAUUCAUUGGGCGUAAAGGGUGCGUAGGUGGUUUGUUAAGUUGAAGGUGAAAUCUCGGAGCUCAACUCCGAAACUGCCUUCAAUACUGGCGAACUCGAGGACUGUAGAGGAGAAUGGAAUUCACGGUGUAGCAGUGAAAUGCGUAGAUAUCGUGAGGAAGACCAGUGGCGAAGGCGAUUCUCUGGGCAGCUCCUGACACUGAGGCACGAAGGCCAGGGGAGCAAACGGG
rnacentral:rRNA from 1 species